UAACACAUGCAAGUCGAACGGAUUUGAGGGGCUUGCUCCUCAAGUUAGUGGCGCACGGGUGAGUAACGCGUAGAUAAUCUGCCUGAUGAUUCGGGAUAACACUUCGAAAGGGGUGCUAAUACCGGAUAAGCCCACGGGAUCUUUGGAUUUUGCGGGAAAAGGGGGGGACCUUCGGGCCUUCUGUCAUCAGAUGAGUCUGCGUACCAUUAGCUAGUUGGUAGGGUAAUGGCCUACCAAGGCUACGAUGGUUAGCUGGUUUGAGAGAAUGAUCAGCCACACUGGAACUGAGACACGGUCCAGACUCCUACGGGAGGCAGCAGUGGGGAAUUUUGCGCAAUGGGCGAAAGCCUGACGCAGCAACGCCGCGUGAGUGAUGAAGGCUUUCGGGUCGUAAAGCUCUGUCGAGGGGAAAGAAGUGUAAGGAGGCCAAUACCCUCUUUACUUGACGGUACCCCUAAAGGAAGCACCGGCUAACUCCGUGCCAGCAGCCGCGGUAAUACGGGGGGUGCAAGCGUUGUUCGGAAUUAUUGGGCGUAAAGAGCGUGUAGGCGGUUUGUUAAGUCUGAUGUGAAAGCCCUGGGCUCAACCCAGGAAGUGCAUUGGAAACUGGCAGACUUGAAUACGGGAGAGGGCAGUGGAAUUCCUAGUGUAGGAGUGAAAUCCGUAGAUAUUAGGAGGAACACCGGUGGCGAA
rnacentral:rRNA from 1 species